UACGUAGGGUGCGAGCGUUAAUCGGAAUUACUGGGCGUAAAGCGUGCGCAGGCGGUUUUUUAAGCCAGACGUGAAAGCCCCGGGCUUAACCUGGGAAUGGCGUUUGGGACUGGAAGGCUGGAGUACGGCAGAGGGAGGUGGAAUUCCACGUGUAGCAGUGAAAUGGCGUAGAGAUGUGGAGGAACACCGAUGGCGAAGGCAGCCUCCUGGGCCAGUACUGACGCUCAUGCACGAAAGCGUGGGGAGCAAACAGG
rnacentral:rRNA from 1 species